rnacentral:rRNA from 1 species
GACGAACGCUGGCGGCGUGCUUAACACAUGCAAGUCGAACGAGGCCCUACCUUCGGGUAGGUGACCUAGUGGCGAACGGGUGAGUAACACGUGGGCAACCUACCCUCAGCUCUGGGAUAACCCCGGGAAACCGGAGCUAAUACCGGAUAUGACCUGGAACGACAUCGUUCCUGGUGGAAAGUUUUUCGGCUGAGGAUGGGCCCGCGGCCUAUCAGCUUGUUGGUGGGGUAAUGGCCCACCAAGGCGACGACGGGUAGCCGGCCUGAGAGGGCGAACGGCCACACUGGGACUGAGACACGGCCCAGACUCCUACGGGAGGCAGCAGUGGGGAAUAUUGCGCAAUGGGCGAAAGCCUGACGCAGCGACGCCGCGUGAGGGAUGAAGGCCUU